rnacentral:tRNA from 1 species
GGAACUAUAGGUUAAAGAAAAAGCCAUUGGCCUUCAAAGCCGAAAAUGAAAAUUCUAGUUUCG